AAACACUGGCUACAUUUCCCCAAGCUUACUAAUUAUCAAUACUAUGGCGUGAUCAUUAACUGCUUCCAAACUCCUGAAAUCUCAAAAGUGACAAAGAACUCUUGGUUAUGACAGAAAAAUUAUCAAAGAAAAAGAUACCUUUCCUUAUCAUUUGAAGGAGGGGAAAAAAAGAUGUGAUAAAGCAGUGAACUUUAACCCUAGAGGUAAACCUGGCAGUUGUUAUGGUCUUUCAUCACAGAACUAACCAUUACAGUCAAUCUGGCUUGAAUUUCCUCUGAUAAAACUGUACCUGGGUAGACAUUCUGGCAACCUUGUCAAACUGUAACGUAUUAAUAAACAAGUCAGCAUUUUAUCAUGUGGAAUCAGCUAAGGAUAGAAGGCCUCUUCUAAGAAGUUUAUUUACCAAUCAAAUGCCUGGAUGUCACAAUCUGGACUCUGCAAAUAGCAAAGUCUCACAAUCAAGAAUGAGAUUCUGCAGCCAAGAAGAAAAACUCUCCUAGGACAUUUAGGAUGGGGCCUCUCAAGAAAACAAGAAAAAUGGUCUUCAUAUUUUAUCAGCCAAGCAGAAAAUCCAGAGAGUUUUAUUAAGACUGAAAAUUGUUGGAAUGAUACAGGUCUUUGCUACAAUCUAGUGGUGAGCUGCACUUCCUGACUCAGCCGACUUCCCAGCAGGAAUUCCAGUCUGAUGAAGAAUCAGCACAAGGAAGCCCCACUGAGAGACACACUGUUACACUAGCAACAUUAUAAGUGUACAACAGCCACUUGUGGCCACUGGCUCCUGUAUCGGACAGCACAGACCUAGAACAUUUACAUCACUACAAAAAUUCUGUUGGAUGGCACAGUUCCAGAUGAAACAACUAAAGAGACAGUUAUUACAGAUGCCAUUAAGAAUAUUUAUGAUUCACGGUAAGACUUCAAAAUAUCAACAUUCAUGAAAGUUUGGAAGAAGCUGACAACCAACCCUCACAGAUGAGGGAUUCAAGACUUUUGUACAGGAAGUAACUGCAGAUGUGGUGGAAACAGCAAGAGAACUAGAAAUAUAACCUGAAGAUGUAACUGCAUUGCAGCAACUUCAUGAUAAACUUUUACAGAUGAAGAACUGCUUUUUAUGAGUUAGCAGAGAAAGUGGUUUCUUAAGAUGGAAUCUACUCCUGGUGAAUAUGCUAUGAGGAUUGUUGAAAUGACAAGGAUUUAGAAUAUUACAUAAACUAAAUUGACAAAGCAAUGUUAGAGUUUGAGAGGACUGACUCCAAUUUUGAAAGAAGUUCUACUGUGGGUCAAAUGCUAUUAAACAGCAUCACAUGCUACAGAAAAAUCAUUAAUGAAAGACAGAGUCAACCAAUGUGGCAACCUUGACUGUUGUCUUAUAGUAUGCAACUGCCAUAGCCACCCCAACCUUCAGCAACCACCACCCUGAUCAGUCAGCAGCCAUCAACAUCAAGGCAAGACCAGCCAAAAGAUUAGGACCUGCUAAAACUUCAGAUGAUGGUUAUCAUUUUGUAGCAAUAAAGUAUUUUUAAAUUAAGUAUGUACAUUUUUUUAGACAUAAUGCUAUUGUACACUUAAUAGACUGUAGUAUAAAUGUAACUGUUCUAUGUAUUGGGAAACCAAAAAAUUCACUUGACUUGCUUAAUUGCCAUCUUUGCUUUACUGCAGUGGUGUGGAACUGAACCUGCAGUAUCUGACGUAUGCCUGUAGUCUCCUAACUGGUCUGUUGUGGGUCUUGUCAUCUUCAAUUCAUUCUCUAUAGGUUAUACUAUUUCCAAAGUGAUCUCUAAUCCUUUGCCUCAACCUCUUCAAAGAUAGUCAACCAUACCACGAUCUGUCCUUAACUUUCCAGUUUCCCAUACUAACACUAUAAACUUAGAAUUUUGUCUUUCAAAACACUUCAAACUCUAGGUUAGCAGCCUUCACUAUCUGGCCCCUGCUCACUUCUCUGACCUAAUCCUCAAAAAACAUUGCAGUCACACUAAACUGCUUGUAGAGCCCCAGCUAGUCAGUUUGUAUUGUAACAGCAUUUGCCUUCAAAAGUGCAGUUCUCUUGUCUAAAAUGGUCUGCUUCUAUGACUACCCAACUUCUUAAAAAUCAAUUCAAAUAUCACUUAAUCUAGAAAGCCUUUUUAAAAAAAUAACUCCCCACCCAUACUGCUUCUGAUGCAAAUGCUCUCAAUGCUCCUCUGCUUAAUUCUAUUCUAACACCUACUACAGUGCACAUAAUUGCUAGUUUGCUACUCUACUAUAAACUUUUGGAAGGCAAGGAUGGUUUAUUUGACUUUAUUUCUCCAGUGACUAGAUUUGGGAUGAAUUAUGAAAGUCAAAAGCAAGUGAGUUCGAUAAGCCACUGGCUUCUGAUCAAAAUGCAGAGAAUAAAGAAAAAAGAGAAACUGAGGAUGAUUCUCAGGUUUUGGGCCUGAAAAUUGGGUAGAUGGUUGAACCAUUAAGUAAGUGAGAAAGACUGAGAUACCUACUGGAUAUUCCAACAGACAGAUCAUACAGGCAAUCUUAAAUUCAAGGGGAAAAGGAACAGGCUAGAUAUAUAAGUUUAAGUGUCAUAAGCACAUAGAUGGUAUCUAAAGCCCUGCGACUGGAUAUCACUUAGGGAGAUCAUGUAGAUAAAGUCCAGGUACUAUAUUUUAGUUCUGAGAAGGAAAGCACAGGAAAGAGGAAGAAAACUAGAAGAAUGAAGUACUUAGGAAGUUAAAGAAACAAGUGUUUUAGGGAGGAGGGAGUGCUCAACUGUGUUAAGUGCCAAAAGGACAAACCACUGGAUUUGGCAACAUGGAAGUCACCAGAGAUCUUGACAAGAACAGUUUUAGUACAGCAUUAAAUAUAGAAGCCAAAAUGUGUGAAGGUAGACAAAAGGUACAUACUUCCAGUUAUAAGUAAGUGUGGCUAUAACACACAACAUGGUAACUACAGUUAACAAUUAUGUAUUGUACAUUUGAAAGUUGCUGAGAGUAGAUCUUAAAAGUUCUUAUAACAAGAAGAAAAAAUUGCCUAUGUGAGGUAAUGGAAGAUAGUGAAACUUAUUUUGGUAAUCAUUUCUAAUAUAUACGUAUGUAAAUCAUUUUGUUGUACAUCUUAAACAUAUACAAUGUUGUAUGUCAACUAUAUCUCAAUAAAACGGGGGGAUAAAAGCCAGACUCGAGUGUGCCAAGGAAAGAAUGGGAGGAAAGAAAGCAUAGACAUCAAGUAGAGACAAAAAUUGUUUUAUUGUGAAGAGAUCAGAGAAAAUGGCACAACAGUUGAAAGGGGUGAGGGAUCGAGGGAGGGAGGAUAAUUACAGAAGUAAAUCCUUGUAUUACACUUUCACAUGCUGUUGAAAUUAGUUUUUCAGUUUUUUCCAAUGACAUCAAUUCCUCAAGAACAGAAUUUUCUAUUUUCUAACUCCUCUUUGUGUCAUAGGUUCUUAAUAUAUUUUGUACAAUAUCUAGAACCUAAACUCUUAAGUCCUGGUUCAAGAAAUGCAUUGGAGUGGCAAGAGCAGAAUUUGGAAUUAGACUCAAGUUUAAAUACCAGAUUUUUCACUAACAAGUUAGGCAGCCUUAGACAGUUACUUUACCUUUCAGAGCCUCAGGCUUCUUAGAGGCACAAAAUAUUUAGUUUACUGAAAUGCUGUGAUGAUAUGAGAGUAAGUCACUUGGUACAGUGUCUUACCCAAUGAUACUAUUCAAUAUUAUAAUUAUUGCUAUUAUUUUCAAUGGCAGGCAAAUAUCAUGUGUAUACCAUACAUACAUACAUGUAAAGCAUGUAUAUACUGUAGAGAAUUGAAACUAUUUUGAAUUUAAGAGUUUUGCAUAACCUCUAGUCAACUGGUAUGUCAAAACAAACACAAAGCAAAAGAUAUUGAGAGGGCAAAUGGUCUUGAAAGACUAUCUAGAAGCAAACAUUACUGUUUGUCUCAUUGGAAUAUCAUUUAACUGAGGGGCUUAUAAAUGUAAUGAAAAAAAAAAAACCAAAUAUAACGGAGGAAAAACAGAGAUCAUUAUGGGGAAUUUCCUGGAAUUUAUAGGAAUUCAGGUCUGGUCUACUGACAAUUUAUAUUGACCCAAAAGAAAAUCAACUUUGGUCUAGUUUGCUUCUAACUGGGUUUUUAAAUUUCACUUUCCCACAUACAACUGUAUCUCCACAUAGCCCCUGACCCAUUAAAAAGGUAAAUCAGAUUAUACUACCCAUGGCUCCUCACUGUAGUUAAAAUGAAUGCUAGCCUUAUUUGUAAUAGCUCAAAAUGUCUAUCACCAUGGCUGGCAGCUACUCUAUGGGAUCAUCCCAUGGCUGUCUGUCAUCUAGGUCUCAGCUCUAAUGUCAUUUCCUCAGAGGAUUCUAAAACCAAGCAAAGGUUACUCUCUGCCCCAUCACACUACUCCUUUUUUCUUUUUGAGCACAUAUCACAUUAUCUCAAAUUACU